rnacentral:rRNA from 1 species
CUUGAACGCUGGCGGAAUGCUUUACACAUGCAAGUCGAACGGCAGCACGGGGGCUACCCUGGUGGCGAGUGGCGAUCGGGUGAGUAAUAUAUCGGAACGUGCCCAGUAGUGGGGGAUAACUGCUCGAAAGCGCAGCUCAUACCGCAUACGACCUGAGGGUGCAAGGGGGGGAUCGCAAGACCGCUCGCUACUGGGGCGGCCGAUAUCAGAUUAGCUAGUUGGUGGGGUAAAGGCCUACCAAGGCAACGAUCUGUAGUUGGUCUGAGAGGACGACCAGCCACACUGGGACUGAGACACGGCCCAGACUCCUACGGGAGGCAGCAGUGGGGAAUUUUGGACAAGUGGCGCAAGCCGGAUCCAGCAAUGCCGCGUGCAGGAAGAAGGCCUUCGGGUUGUAAACUGCUUUUGUCAGGGAAGAAAUCCUCUAGGUUAAUACCCUUGGGGGGAUGACGGUACCUGAAGAAUAAGCACCGGCUAACUACGUGCCAGCAGCCGCAGUAA